rnacentral:rRNA from 1 species
CAGCUGAUCCAGCCAUGCCGCGUGAUUGAUGAAGGCCUUAGGGUUGUAAAGAUCUUUCAGAUGGGAAGAUAAUGACGGUACCAUCAGAAGAAGCUCCGGCUAACUCCGUGCCAGCAGCCGCGGUAAUACGGAGGGAGCUAGCGUUGUUCGGAAUUACUGGGCGUAAAGCGUACGUAGGCGGACUAUUAAGUCAGAGGUGAAAUCCCAGGGCUCAACCCUGGAACUGCCUUUGAUACUGGUAGUCUAGAGGUCGAGAGAGGUGAGUGGAAUUCCGAGUGUAGAGGUGAAAUUCGUAGAUAUUCGGAGGAACACCAGUGGCGAAGGCGGCUCACUGGCUCGAUACUGACGCUGAGGUACGAAAGUGUGGGUAGCAAACAGGAUUAAGAUACCCUGGUAGUCCACACCGUAAACGAUGAAUGCUAGUCGUCAGGGGACUUGUCCUUUGGUGACGCAGCUAACGCAUUAAGCAUUCCGC